CUGGCUUUGGUAGGCAAGGCGGGGGUGGCGGCAUCGUGGAUCACUAGUUCGCUUUAUGCAGCAGAACUCGCACCCACUGUGAUAAGGAACAUAGCAUUCGGUACGGUAUCGAUAGCCUGGCGAAUAGGUGGAAUCGUAGCUCCCCAGUUUCAAUUACUGAAUUCGAUUUCUAUGGAGCUGCCGUACAUUGUAUUUGGUGGUUUGUGCCUGGCGAUGGCCUUCCUUGGCCUGCUCACUCUACCAGAAACAAGGAAUAGACCUCUGCCGGACGCGUUACCGGAAUGGUCAUGUUG